GAUAGCAAAUGCUUAUUUUAAAGCCUUUAGCACUUUACAAACAUGCCCGGACUUUCAAAAUAGUGGUUACCAUUUUGUUCCAUGAUACUGUGUCUGUCUUCUGUGAAACCCCACCACAUUCAAUAGCCAUAUGUAUGUUAAUGAAAGAAUAAUCAUGACAACUAAUAGCAUACACGAGCCAUGUCAGCGCUCGACCAUCAGAGCAAAUGAAAACAAAACUGCGUACAGACAAUAUGAAUCAAGAUCUGAAGCUUCAUGGUUCUUAACCAGUUUUAUGUUAAUGAAACAAUUAUUAGAACACACAAAACCCUUCCUUUUUAAUUUGAUAAAUUGAGUGGUGAUGUGAGUUAAUUGAACCAUUGGUGAGAUAAUAAGAUGCAAUUGGUAUGAUUUAUCAGAGGAUGACAUGGUUACAGGCAUUGCUUCCACAGAAAAUAAUGGCUGCUAUUACCACUUCCUGAGGUGAGCAGGUAAGCCAUAAACCUAGGUUAUUGCUACAUAGGUCAGGAAGAUGAGGGUCCAUUUUGACUUUCAUCCAAGUGAAUAUUUUAAGGCUGUGUUUUUAGAGGCAUGCAUACCAAUUUUGUACUUGUUUUCCAUUUUUCAUAAACAGUGUCAAUACUGAGUUUGUUUAGGCUAUUCCAUAAUCUUAAUCUACUUAGCUAGGUAUUGAAGAGAAAAAAAAAAACAUGUUUCCAAGAGUUUUGAGUUCUAAUGUGGGUAAUUAAAGGGUCAUCAUGGGUUGUUCUAAGUCAUGUUAUCUUGUAGAGACAUUUUCACAAGCUGUUAUUUUAGCAGAAUAAUCCUCUAGGGUUCUGCAGCUUAAAACGCAGGGCCUAUGCUUUUUCAUAUGUGAUUCAGAGAGAAUAUUACAUGCUACCCACCUUCUAGUGGGGGAGAAAGAAACGAUCACAAAGCCUGUUGGAGUGUACCAAAAAAAAUAGCACUCACAUUGCUAUAUUUUUUAUAUCUUAAAUGACCUCAAAAUUUUUAAAAGUAAAAUCAGUGUCAUUGAAUAUAGGAGACGAUAUAGUUCUACCAUGUAAAGAUACUGUAAAAACACUUAGCAUAUAUGUUCACACUGUGAAAAAUUAAUCCAGGAUCAGGGAAUAAGCUUGUGCCUAUGCUGGGAAGGAUAUAUCUUAAACUAUCAAUUAAACCUCCAUUCUUCAGUAAUUUUAUAUUCAUUUGUUGAAUUUCUUGUUUUAAAAUUCCAUUUAUACACAUCUUGGCAUUUUUUGUGUGUGUGAACACACAUACACGAUAGUUUAAUUCUUACAACCACUUCUGAUGUCAGUAUGAUAAAUCCAAGUUUUGAAGAUGAAGUAAGAUGUGCAGUGGUCACACUGAUGAUAAAUAAUGAGAAACUGUUGAGAGGGAAAGACAGGACAAAUCAAGGACAACAAGUGUGCACUAGGACUGCUCUGGGAUCUGAAAAUACAGUGACCCUAGGUGAAAGACUCAUAAAAAUUAAGACGUUUUACCAAGGUAAUAGUGCAAGAAAGGGGCAGAGCUGCAUUUGGUUCCAUGUCUUUAGGACUUCACAUUUUUUCCUACACUUUCCCAGUAGAUUUGGUGAUUUUCUUGACAUGAUUAGAUGGAGGCAAGUCAGAGAGGCUUCCUGCAAUAUACCAGUGCUAAAGGGGAUGCCAGGUCUUGUUUAUCUCUGUGUAUCUAACUUGAAACACAUCAGGUCUUCAAUAAACACUUGUGGGUCUGAACCAGAUUGUACUGCUUGACACCUCCUCGCUUAGGAUGCAUUCCCGUUCCUUUAGAUGGUAAGGAUUUUUCGAUCUUUGAGAAUCAGUGAAUGAUUAGAACAGUAUAAACAUAAACCCAAGGAGAUAUAUAAUCAGACUGGCCAUCCCUUCAUUUCAAUUAAUCUUGGUUUCCAACAAUCUGGGCAGAAAUUCCUCCCCCCCAAAAAAAAAUGAUGCUGACUGUCAGAGAAUUUCUAGGCUUAGAAGGGAACAGAACACUGUCUAGGGAGGUAGCCAAAGAGUAGCACUGGUCUCUUUCUCAUUCUUGAGAUGGUCAAUCUCAUGCCAGUUUUUUCUUUGUCCAUUUUCACACCUUCACUGGUCACACAUUCAAUGCAAUUUGGAACAUUUUCCUUUUAUAGGACCAACUGGUUGACAAAAAGCUUAAAUUGGGUUAAUCACAUUAAACAAUGAAACAUCAUCUGUAAAUGAGGAGCUAGGAAGAGGCCACUCUUGGUACGACAUUCGGCCACUGCCUAAUAAGAUAGGGAAAAGAUUAAGGAAAACAAACCAGGCGUUAUAAUCAUGAUACAUGGAAUAAAACCACAUCCACAUCAGUAACUUCAUUUUCAGGACCUCACAUCUCCCACCUGUAGUUAGGUCAAUUAGCUUAGAUCAUAUAACAUUUUAAAAUAGUUCUCAUAUUGCAUUAUGUUGUAAAUUAGAUGCAGUUGGUAACGCACUAGAAUUCUUACUGUUAACAUAUGAGGAAACCUCCAUCGCCUUGAUUCCUUGGCACAAAUCACCAGGACCCGGAAUGUUAUCCCCUCUCUAAAAGAAAGGAGAGUUUCAAACAUUAAUUUUCCAUAUUGCUAUCAUAUUAAUAAGAGCUAUAAAUAAAAAUUAAAUUUAAGAAUUACAGCGUGGAAAAAUCUCUACAUUCCUACAUAUUUAAAUGUUAGGAAAUAUUUCUGGAAGUAAUUUCUGGAGGUAUUUUGCUACAUUAUCGGGUUGUCAAGAUGACGAAUUUCCACUUAAUAUUUAAUUCUAUUAUUUCUCAAUUGUUCCCUCACGCCCAUCCUCAUUCCCCAGUGACUUACUUUGAAUUCUAACUUGCCACAUUACCUAGUGGUGGUGGUAUGUUAGGUGUAUUCCUUACCUUUUCUGAACUUAUUUAUGAAUCUGCAAAGUGGGGGAAAUGACAUCUCCGCCUGUCUGAGAAGAAAGGGUAAGCUUUCAUUUUAACGUGAAUGUAAAUAAAGCUUUUGGACCAACAUUUAAAUGUAGAAAGGCACUACACUAUAGCCCUGAUUUAUGAAUCAGAUCUUAGCUACUUAUUCCUAGGUUAGUUCUUCAUAAGAGUUCUUAGACACUUUCCGACGUUAAUAAGAACUUGAGAUGUAUCGUUCUGAAACAUUGAAGGAUUUUCUACCCAUGUUUGAAAGAAGGACUGUUUACGGAUUACAGUUUUCUGUUACUAAUAAUAUUAUCUUUUUUCAUCACAGGACAGGGACUACAGAAAUACAGAUUAAGAUUCAAAUUUCUUUUUUUUUUUUUUGCUUUCAUUUUUAAAUUUAAAACAAUUAUUUAUAGUUGAUUUACAAUGUUCUGUCAACUUCUACUGUACAGCAAAGUGAUUCAUUUAUACAUAUAUAUGUUCUUUUGCAUAUUCCUUUCCAUUGUGGUUUAUCACAGGAUGUUAAAUAUAGUUCCCUGGGCUAUACAGUAGGACCUUGUUGUUUAUCCAUCCUUUUAAAAUAGUCUGCCUCUGCUAAUUCCAACUCCCAAUCCUUUCCUCCUCUUCCCACCCUGGCAGCCGCAAGUCUGUUCUCUAUAACUGUGAGUCUGUUUCAUAGAUAUGUUCAUUUGUGUCAUAUUUUAGUUUGUACCUAUAAGUGAUAUCAGAUGGCAUUUGUCUUUAUCUUUUUGACUUCCUUCACUUACUUAGACUCCAGUUUCAAUGAAGAAAUAAAUCAUAUUUAGCUUGGACCAUAGCUGUUGUCAUUUAAAAAAUGAUUUAUUUACAGAUAGCUUCUUAUAGUUGGGUUCAAUGAGUAUGAGUAAUUCUUGUGAUCCCAUCUAACAUAGUUUCUGACACUGUUAGCAGUCACCACUUAAGGGAAGUACAUCUUUCUGUGUUGUGACUACACAAAGUUAGCUGUGUUGUUGUGGCUGGGUUAUAGCCUAAUCAUGUGGCAGGAGUAGGAAGCAAGAAACACCUUAUAAUGAAGACAUUAGAUGGUAAACUUCCAAAGGGGAAAGAGGAUUAUCUCUUACUCAUUGUCUGCCUCCCACAAACACAUAAGUCACUGUCUUAUAGAUAUUCGGUCUUUUAGGAAUUCAAACAUGGAAUUUGCUAGUUCGAAUAAGUUCAGAGGUCGUAAAACUGAUUUUACUUUGGUGGUGAACGAUAAUGCUUUGACCUCAGGGUGCAAGUACCCUUGAUAAACUCUCCUAAAUUGUAAAAGCUUUGAAGUCAGAGCACUUUUAAGAUACACAACAUCUUAGACUGAAGAUGAUUCAGUAAGAUCUCCACAUAAACUGGAAGGCAAACAUGUUUAACACAAAGUUGGUAAUCUGCAGUUCUUAUCAGCCAGCCAAAGAAAUUUAAGCAAACAUGAAAAAAAAUACAGACACCCUUAGUUUUAAGGUUUCUGCACAAUGUGUAGAACCAUUUUGUCACUGUGCAAUCAAUACUCAUGAGUAAACGUAGGCCUGGCAUGUGGCAGGAGAUAAAUAAAUGGUGACUCAGGAGUUCCCAUUGUGGCACAGCGGAAACAAAUCCAACUAGGAACCAUGAGGUUGCAGGUUCGAUCCCUGGCCUUGCUCAGUGGGUUAAGGAUCUGGCAUUACUGUGAGCUGUGGUGUAGGUUGCAGAUGUGGCUCGGAUCCUGCGUUGCUCUGGCUGUGGUGUAGGCCGGUAGCUGUAGCUCCCAUUCGACCCCUAGCCUGGGAACCUCCAUAUGCCAUGGGUGUGGCCCUAAAAAGACAAAAGACCAAAUAAAUAAAUAAAUAAAUAAAUAAAUAGUGACUCCUAUCAUUAUUGUUAGGUGUCUUCCCAAAAGUCUAUUUUAAGAAGAGAAUCAUUAUUGCCAUUAGUAGAAAAAAAUGGGGGAAAAUGUUCUCUUUGAGCACCUUGAUACACCUAUACUACAUGCAGAUACUGUCUACAGGUUCUUACAGGUUCUUUGUAUCAAAUACUUUCUGUUGAAAUCAGACUAAUAAUGUGACACUAGGCACCAGUGAGGUAACUGACGUGAUUUGAGCAGUAUGUUAUCAAAUGAACAGUGCCAGGAACCUCCAGCAUCUAGAUCAAGUCAUUAAAUUGACAAAAGCAUUUUUUCUCCUAUCAUCAGGAGCCCACAUUCGGGGUGCUGAUAAGCUUGCUGCCCCCUGGAUGUUUGUAUUCAUCAACCAGGCUGGGCUUCCGGGAAUGUGAGAGGUAUCGCUAGUUGUGUUACGUUGCGUUGACAGCAUUUUGUGUGAUUUGUUCCAUAUCUCUAGUGGUCUGAGGAGGGAUUAUGUUUCAAGCCUUCCAGUGCACGUAAGAUGUCAUGAAAUAUAUUGUUGACUCUAUUGCACUGUCAGCGUGGGGCUACAGACCCACAGUCUGACUUCUGAAGAUUGAGGUUAUACACUAGCUUGCUCGAGAGAAACCCUAUAUGUGCCUAAAGAUCUCUAAAGAUGAUAUAGAGCUUAAAGCACCAAAGGAAUGUUUCUAUAUUGCAAUGUGAUCUAUAAUGAUAUAUGUGCCAGACUAAAAACUAGCAAAUGAGAUUUCGGUGGUAAUCUAAACUUCGGGAAAAGCUAGAGACAGUCACAAAUAAUGGUCCUAUGUGUUAAUUUGAAAUGCAAGCCAUACUCCCCACAUCAGUCGACAUUUCUGCCUUUAAUUAAGAGAAGUAUGAUAUAAAAUGCAAUUAGGAUGCAUAAUAGACAAAUAGACCAAUGAUGAAACAGAAUAGAAAGCAUAGAAGUAGACUCAAAUAUACAUGGGAAUUCAGGUUAUAAUGAACAGCUCAGAUCAGUGGAGUAAAAAUGGACUAUUUUAAUAAAUAGUUAUCCUUUGGAGAAAAUUCAAAACUAUUUGUGAAAAAGACAAAGUUGGAUCCUUUCUAUUGUAGAUCAAGGUAAAUAAAUAAAAUAUUUAAAUGUAAAAAAGGAAACCAUAGCAGUACUAGAAGAAAGUAUAGGUUCAUUUUUUAAAAUAACAUCAGACUGGAAAAAAAUCUUUCUAACUACAGAAGUUAGAAAAGUAGACAACUUUUGCUACAUACAAAUAGAAAAUAAGGAGGUCCUAUUGUGGCUCAGUGGGUUACGAACCCUACUAGUAUCCAGAAGGAUAUGUGUUUUGAUCCCCAGCCUCGCUCAGUGGGUUAAGGAUCUUGCAUUGCUGUGGCUGUGGUGUAGGCCAGCAGCUGCAGCUCCAGUUGAACCUCUAGCCUGGGAACUUCCAUAUGCCGUGGGUGUGGUCCUGAAGACCAAAAAGUAAAAUAAAAGUGCCUUGUCAAGAUAAAAACAAAAAACAAAUUUCCAUAAGCAGUCAAAAGACAAAUAUCAAGUUAGGGAAUAGUAUCUACAACUCAUAUUAAAUAAAAGGGUUAAUCUUCACAAUAUAUAAAGAGCCAGUAGAAAUUGAGAUGAAAUUGUUCAAUAACACUAUAGAAAAAAAUGAGCAAGCUUUUUACAUACAGUUCAUAGAAAAAAGAAACAUAACUACAUUAAAAAUAUGAAAAGAUAAACCUUAUUCAUAGUAAGAGAUGUGUAAAGUGAAAUUAGACAUCUUUUCUCACUUCUUAGGUUGG
rnacentral:lncRNA from 1 species